AGGCCAGUGAAUGGCAAGACUAGGAAUAUCUGUACUUUGUAUAUGAAAAAAACUUUUCAUCUAAGUGAAAAGACUUAGAUAAUAAAGGAAGACGAAAAGACCCCGCGGAACUUUACCUUUUCUCAUACCUCUGUCUACAAACUUAAAAGUCUAUAAGGUUUGAUUGGGGCAAUCUUGGAACCAACAAAGCUUCCAACGACUUACAAUAUUUAUACAAAAUUUGUUAAAGACUAAAAAGUAGUUACCCCGGGGAUAACAGCGUAAUCCAACUAAAGAGUACACAUCGAAAGUUGGGUUUGCGACCUCGAUGUUGGCUUAAGGAUAUCCACAUAAGUGCAACCGCUAUGACAGGAUAGUCUGUUCGACUAUUAUACCCUUACAUGAUCUGAGUUC
rnacentral:rRNA from 1 species